rnacentral:rRNA from 1 species
AAUCCAUAGGUUAAUGAGGCGAACCGGGGGAACUGAAACAUCUAAGUACCCCGAGGAAAAGAAAUCAACCGAGAUUCCCCCAGUAGCGGCGAGCGAACGGGGAGGAGCCCAGAGCCUGAAUCAGCAUGUGUGUUAGUGGAAGCGUCUGGAAAGGCGCGCGAUACAGGGUGACAGCCCCGUACACAAAAGCGCAUGUGCUGUGAGCUCGAUGAGUAGGGCGGGACACGUGGUAUCCUGUCUGAAUAUGGGGGGACCAUCCUCCAAGGCUAAAUACUCCUGACUGACCGAUAGUGAACCAGUACCGUGAGGGAAAGGCGAAAAGAACCCCGGCGAGGGGAGUGAAAAAGAACCUGAAACCGUGUACGUACAAGCAGUGGGAGCCCCACCACUAAGCCAGUGGUGAACUCCACAUACGCAUCCUUUGCUGAGGAUACGGUUAACGGAGCGAAAGCGACGUUCAACCGCAAAAGAAGCAGAGGGGGCUUAGUGGUGGGGUGACUGCGUACCUUUUGUAUAAUGGGUCAGCGACUUAUAUUCUGUAGCAAGGUUAACCGAAUAGGGGAGCCGGAGGGAAACCGAGUCUUAAUUGGGCGUUAAGUUGCAGGGUAUAGACCCGAAACCCGGUGAUCUAGCCAUGGGCAGGUUGAAGGUUGGGUAACACUAACUGGAGGACCGAACCGACUAAUGUUGAAAAAUUAGCGGAUGACCUGUGGCUGGGGGUGAAAGGCCAAUCAAACCGGGAGAUAGCUGGUUCUCCCCGAAAGCUAUUUAGGUAGCGCCUCGUGAAUUCAUCUCCGGGGGUAGAGCACUGUUUCGGCUAGGGGGCCAUCCCGGCUUACCAACCCGAUGCAAACUGCGAAUACCGGAGAAUGUUAUCACGGGAGACACACGGCGGGUGCUAACGUCCGUCGUGAAGAGGGAAACAACCCAGACCGCCAGCUAAGGUCCCAAAGUCAUGGUUAAGUGGGAAACGAUGUGGGAAGGCCCAGACAGCCAGGAUGUUGGCUUAGAAGCAGCCAUCAUUUAAAGAAAGCGUAAUAGCUCACUGGUCGAGUCGGCCUGCGCGGAAGAUGUAACGGGGCUAAACCAUGCACCGAAGCUGCGGCAGCGACACUGUGUGUUGUUGGGUAGGGGAGCGUUCUGUAAGCCUGUGAAGGUGGCCUGUGAGGGUUGCUGGAGGUAUCAGAAGUGCGAAUGCUGACAUAAGUAACGAUAAAGCGGGUGAAAAGCCCGCUCGCCGGAAGACCAAGGGUUCCUGUCCAACGUUAAUCGGGGCAGGGUGAGUCGACCCCUAAGGCGAGGCCGAAAGGCGUAGUCGAUGGGAAACGGGUUAAUAUUCCCGUACUUGGUGUUACUGCGAAGGGGGGACGGAGAAGGCUAUGUUGGCCGGGCGACGGUUGUCCCGGUUUAAGCGUGUAGGUGUGUGUUCCAGGUAAAUCCGGUU